UGCAUGACCUGAUGCUUGCAACAUUUGAUUAAGAUGUGAAAGUUCCACAACCAUCAUGGCAUUAGCAGGAAUAAAGUAUUGUAAAACACAGGCAUCAUCAGAUGGACGAAAAGCACUGCGUAUUAAAGAUGCAUUAGCGUUAAGGGGAAAACCUCUUCCAGCAAGGCCAAGAGUUUCAGUACCAGAAUCGGUAUUUCGGAGGAAAGUAUAUACUGGGUCCUUAGG